rnacentral:piRNA from 1 species
GCAAGAGGCUAUGUAGAAAAGAG